AAUAGAUACCCGGGUAGUCCAUGCCGUAAACGAUGUCUACUAGCCGUUGGGGCCUUUGAGGCUUUAGUGGCGCAGCUAACGCGAUAAGUAGACCGCCUGGGGAGUACGGUCGCAAGACUAAAACUCAAAUGAAUUGACGGGGGCCCGCACAAGCGGUGGAGCAUGUGGUUUAAUUCGAUGCAACGCGAAGAACCUUACCUGGUCUUGACAUAGUAAGAACUUUCCAGAGAUGGAUUGGUGCCUUCGGGAACUUACAUACAGGUGCUGCAUAGCUGUCGUCAGCUCGUGUCGUGAGAUGUUGGGUUAAGUCCCGCAACGAGCGCAACCCUUUUCCUUAUUUGCCAGCGGGUUAAGCCGGGUAACUUUAAGGAUACUGCCAGUGACAAACUGGAGGAAGGCGGGGACGACGUCAAGUCAUCAUGGCCCUUACGACCAGGGCUACACACGUGCUACAAUGGUCGGUACAAAGGGUUGCUACCUAGCGAUAGGAUGCUAAUCUCAAAAAGCCGAUCGUAGUCCGGAUUGGAGUCUGCAACUCGACUCC
rnacentral:rRNA from 1 species